rnacentral:rRNA from 1 species
GAUGAACGCUGGCGGCGUGCCUAAUACAUGCAAGUCGAGCGAACAGACGAGGAGCUUGCUCCUCUGACGUUAGCGGCGGACGGGUGAGUAACACGUGGAUAACCUACCUAUAAGACUGGGAUAACUUCGGGAAACCGGAGCUAAUACCGGAUAAUAUAUUGAACCGCAUGGUUCAAUAGUGAAAGACGGUUUUGCUGUCACUUAUAGAUGGAUCCGCGCCGCAUUAGCUAGUUGGUAAGGUAACGGCUUACCAAGGCUACGAUGCGUAGCUGACCUGAGAGGGUGAUCGGCCACACUGGAACUGAGACACGGUCCAGACUCCUACGGGAGGCAGCAGUAGGGAAUCUUCCGCAAUGGGCGAAAGCCUGACGGAGCAACGCCGCGUGAGUGAUGAAGGUCUUCGGAUCGUAAAACUCUGUUAUUAGGGAAGAACAAAUGUGUAAGUAACUAUGCACGUCUUGACGGUACCUAAUCAGAAAGCCACGGCUAACUACGUG